GGCCCGGUAGUUCAGUUGGUUAGAAUGCCAGCCUGUCACGCUGGAGGUCACGGGUUCGAGCCCCGUUCGGGUCGCCA
rnacentral:tRNA from 1 species